rnacentral:snoRNA from 1 species
AAGAAUGUAUUUUCAAGGAUCAUUUCUAUAAUCUGGUGCUAGUGAAGUGUACUGAGUGUGUAAGCUACUGGUAACCUUGAAGAUGAGUGGUAGUGUUUUCUCCUGAGCACAGGUCGGCCUGUGGUGUUGCCUGGUGGCAGCUGCACUUCUCCACCAUGACGACUUUUCCUUUCUUUUGGGAAAUAGAGAGAACACAGGCAGAGGAGU